rnacentral:lncRNA from 1 species
CCACUUCCCCACAUCUGGCCCCACUCUGGUCCCCUUACCAGCUUCAGGCCCACUUCCCCACACUCUGGCCCCCUUACCCGCCUCAGGCCCACACUCUGGCCCCCUUACCAGCUUCAGGCCCCUUACCAGCUUCAGGCCCACACUCUGGCCCCCUUACCAGCUUCAGGCCCCCUACCAGCUUCAGGCCCACACUCUGGUCCCCUUAC